AACGACUCUCGGCAACGGAUAUCUCGGCUCUCGCAUCGAUGAAGAACGUAGCGAAAUGCGAUACUUGGUGUGAAUUGCGGAAUCCCGUGAACCAUCGAGUCUUUGAACGCAAGUUGCGCCCCAUGCCUUCUAGCCGAGGGCACGUCUGCCUGGGUGUCACAAAU
rnacentral:rRNA from 1 species